rnacentral:rRNA from 1 species
UACGUAGGGUGCGAGCGUUAAUCGGAAUUACUGGGCGUAAAGCGCGUGUAGGCGGCUAAGUAAGUCGGGCGUGAAAUCCCACGGCUCAACCGUGGAAGUGCACUCGAAACUGCAUAGCUAGAGUCCUGGAGAGGAAGGUGGAAUGCUUGGUGUAGAGGUGAAAUUCGUAGAUAUCAAGCGGAACACCGGUGGCGAAGGCGGCCUUCUGGACAGUGACUGACGCUGAGACGCGAAAGCGUGGGGAGCAAACAGG